AAAUCAGAAAAGAGGAAAGGCGGAGAAAAACUGUCAGAUGUGAGGAAGCCUGGUGUGCUGUACUCUUCUUUGUUCUGUGUUUUCCCCCCCGUGUGCCUGCCUGUGGGGGGAAGAGCAUACCCCGUGUAGCACAGGUGUGUUGGCCAGGCGCCGCGGGCUGGGCGACAGGCAGGGAUGGAUUCCAGCUGCCCUGGGCUUCAGCAAGGGCACCAAUGGACCCCUCCUUCCUCUGCCGAGGUGCUGCUGAUGUUCAUGUAAGAAACUGCAGGAUGAGACCUCUGUCCCUUGUGGAUGGCUGGCAAGGCCCAGGCCUGCAGGAGAAGGGGCAGGAGGCUGCCAGCCCUUUGAACGGGAUGCUCAGGUCUGGGCUAAAAGCUUGCUGGCCUCUUGACUGCAAUUGAGUGAGAAGUAAUUUUGGCAGGUUUCGAUUUGUGCAGGGAAAAAUACCAGCAGAAUUACAUUUAAAUAACCAAAAUCUAUAAGCUUUCUGUCCACUGUAGGAAUUGAAUAGUUUUGCUUUGUCCACUGUUAGCUUUGAAUCAAAAUUGAAAGUGGUUGUUAGCAGUGUGUUGAUAAACAAUGUUCUUGAUGUUAUUGGUAGCAAUCGGGUACAGUUUUUAGCCAUUUCUGUUUCACUUGCACAUUAAAAUGUCUUGAUCUUACAUGUUUUCUUCUCAGUUUCCCUUGAUGUGCCCUUUCCCAUGUCACACAAAACCAAACUGCUUUGUUUUCUUUUUGGUUUGCUGUUCAUACCAUGUCCUCAGCUGAGACUCAGACUUGUUUCCCCCAGUAAUUUUGACCAAAAUGCUCUGGCAAAUGAAACUGGAUUCUUGUUUUGCAAAGAGGACAGGAGAUUAGAGAAAGCCACAAUAUUACCUUUUGCAAGAAGGUAAACCUAGGUCGCAUCUUGUUACAAUACUACUUACAAGGUACUUGACUAUAGUAUAAUAAAUGUCUCCGCAGAGCAGUGGCUGUAUGUAGUUCUUAAAGCAGUGCCAUGCAGUCUGAUAAUUGUUGUUAAGGUGUACUUAGAAUUAAAAAAAGGCAUAAACCAGCUGGAUUUAUUGCUGUUGUACCUUGGAAAUGUUAAUAGCAAAUAUUCCAAAGUCAAGCUUGGUUUUUGCUCCAAAGAAACAGAUAAGUGACACGUGUGCAAUGUGCCAAGGAGGAAUGCGACACAAAUCUGAAAUUUGGUGACGUUUGCUCACAAGGCAAAGCACUCUGACAGAGGAACAUGCAAUCCUGCAGAUAACUGAGCUUUCUUCUGCCCUGGCUGAGUGACACUCACCAGGUGUUAGGUACCUUGAGCUCUGUGUGGGUUUGAGGUGUGUGUCUGCCCAUGCACCGGGAAGCUCAGGCAGCUGCUUCGCCAUGAAAGGGUCAGAAAUAAGGUAAAAUGAAAACCAAAAUCUUAGUGUUAGAUGCCAGUCUACUGAGGUCACAGUUAAAUUUACUUUCAGAGAAAGGAAUUGAAUGCCGGUGGUGCAGUGUGUUUGGCCUGUUAAUUUAGGAGCUGGUUUAUUGAAGGAGAGGGAGCAAAAUAAAUGUCGGUUUAUAAAUAUAUCUUCUGUGUCUAUUAAUUAAUUAAUAUUUUUGCUCAUAUGUUAUAUAAAUAGACAUGUACUUCGUGCUGUGUUCUGGCAAAGGGUUAUAUGCAGAAAAAGAUGAAAGCGGCAUUUGGAUUUUCAAAUAAAAACAGAGCCUAAUGUCCAAAUUCCUCUGUUGAUGUUGGCUCAUGGUGAGGGUGAACCUGUGGCCCGCAGAGUGAGCCCCUUGCUCUCAGCAGAUGUUUUUCUGUGCCCACACUAAGCAGCUUAGGGAUUGGGGGCCUGAUUUUUGUUUUAUUUCUCCUUAAUUUUUUUUAAAUUUUUUUAUUUUUUUGUGAGAGGCCAAGAAUAAAACACUGCAAAGCAGACUGUGCAGACACAGCUCCUCUGAAUUUUCACCUGGAUUUCUGAAUUUGAUAGAUCUUUCUCAAUUUGCCUUCCUAAAGCUAGCACAGCAAUUGAUAUCGCCACAUUUGGUUUCAAAAUAAUGCAUUUUAGUCCCAAUAUAACAGGUUUCACCAAUGGACCUGUCCCCACUGAGGAACUGCAGUAGGUCUGUGAUGUUUGGGAGCUGCACUGCUUGUGCAGUUGAGGAAAACAAAUUGCCACCGUGCUAGAAGCACGUUCAGACCUGGCCACUGCAAACAUGUGGCAGCACCAACUUGAAUGCAAUCCCGGAGCCAGAACUCUGCAUCAAGGUUGUGCCAGUGUGUCUGGUUCCCAGACCCCAGCUGAAUCUGCAGAACCAGUUAAAUUUUGCUAUGAUGAGAAUGCAAAAUUAAUUUUUAGUGGAUUAAUUCUGUACAGGCUUAUUCUUUGACAGGCUGUAAGCAGUGUCCAGUUUGAAACAAAUGGAAAAAACCAACAACCCAGAUGCAGUGAGUAAUAGGCAGAAUGUGUGCUUAUAUUCAGGUUUUCUGUGCUUUUUGGGGUGAACUGUAGCAUUUUCAGGUGCAUUCCAUGGCAGGUUAGGUAUGUAGACAGGGAAUUUCCUGGAAGUGAAUCUGGAUCCUUUCAAUGAAAAGCCACACAGUCUCAUUCACACAAGACUGCAGGUGUAGGCAUUGUGCUUUUACACACCUGCUCUUCUGGGAGUGGGAACUGGAUGCAGACACUUAAGGUGUAGCACCUUGUAAAGCUUCUUGUUCUGUUUGUUCUUACUCUUUUGGCCUGGACAAAAGGUGAAGUGCUGGCAGUGUAGUUCACACGGCUGCACCACCUGAGGUGGAGUUGUACCCUGCACAUGGGUUGUAUAACACCCUGUCAGUCCUGCCUGCACCAGAAAGCCCUGGCACUGGCGAGGUGCUGCCACUGUUUCAAGUACUUGGUUAACUACCCUGCUUUGCUCCCUACAGUGCUUUAAAGUGUGUUGGCAACUGGAAGUGUAUUGGUGAGUCACGGUCUAGACUGGCUCCCAUUAACACAGGGCAAUAAACCUCAGCAGCAUUGCCACACAUCCCUGCUUUUGUCAGGAGCUGCUGCCUUCCUGCUGAGCAGAUGCCCCGUUUGGUGGGGUAGAUGGAUGGAGGAGUAGGGAAGGUGUCAGAAUACUGAAACAGGCCGUGCACCACGCAUACAGUGAAAUCUCAAUCUAGCAUGUAGGUGAGCAGAUCCUGCUGGCUCACCCAUAGACUGACAGCAGAGGAUAUGGAGAGGCCUUUGCCUCUUCUGUGUUAGUCUUCUCAUCUCAGUUAGCACCUGUUCAAAUUCCUUAGGUGUGUCUGCUAAAUGUUGAAUCAACCAAAAGCUGAAAUCCAAUACCUAGAAUUCUUGUGUGGGGAAAGGAAGGUGGUGGAUAGGGAUGGCUCCAGGGACGUGCUGUGAGAAGUAGCACAGCAUCUUGCAGACCAAUGUCUGCAUUUGCUUGGUUCCUCCUUGUUCUUUCAAAUCUUCUUUGGACAGUUUUUUCACAAAUAAGAUUUAUAAUCAGUGAACCACUUGGCAUUUGCUAAAGGGAUAUUAGAGCUGUCUCAGAUCAACAGUGUAGUCAAAGCACCAGUGUUCGUUAUCCCUUCCUUCUGAACAUAUGAUUUACAGGUUUUUUUGUUGUUGGCUUUGUCCCUUUAUUUUGAUCUGAACCUUUUUGCCUUUUUUUUUUCUCACUGCUACCCCCAACUUCCCCAAGCUUCUUGUGGAGAUGUGAACUCAGUGAAGUGAACCUAAGUUAAACACCAGAAGUCUUCCUUCUCUUGAAGCUGUUUCUGAAAGGCUCCACAGACCAUUUGCCUGCAAACCACAGUCAUAUAUCUGUCUCUCUCAUAUAAAUAUAUAUAUAUAUACAUAUAGCUUAUUAGUUGUGACCUACAUCAUAUCUUCACUAAGGUAAUAAAAGACUCCAUUUUGAAACAGGGUACUGGGUUCUGUGGAGACCAGUUUUUACGUUAUUUUCCCUCACUUUAGGUUGCAUAAACAGCAGGAGAUGGAUAUUCUUGCAAUAUACUGUGCUCUGGACAAUGAGGGAAAUAAAAACCAAUAUUCUGAGAGAGGUUCAUCUCCUGAAAACAAAUGCAACCAAAGAAACCCCUGUCAUACUUUGUAAUAGGGUAUUUAACUUGCUCUGUAGAUGGAGCAAUUCUCAGGCAAAUGUCAGGACUCCUGGUUUUGGUUCCUGCCUAGGGCCUGGUAUCUGGGGCAUUAGCCCCCGACACCUCCCGAAAUGUGUGGCUGGUGCCCACGUUUGCACACUGCAGGCGUCGCUGAGGCUUUUGUGUCCCCAAGAGCUCUGCCAAGCGGCACAGGGUCACUGCCGCUCGGUUUGGCAGCUGGCACGCCCAGGGCUGUGCCGCUCCAGAGCUGCUCUGGCUGGACACACCUCAGGAGAGCACCGGGGCCACCCUUCAUGUACCACAGGAGCCCUGUAGGUGUGCUGUAUGCGGGACUGACAGCUGCUCACGGCAUCCUCUCUCAGCCCAGCAAAAUCCCCCGUGCAGGCUGAGUUUCUUGGCCAAUGGUUCCUGUGCUGUCCCAGCGUGUGCUCGCCAGAGCUGCUGGGAGCUGGCAGCCCAGAAUGGGCCAGCUGGAGUGAUCGUGUUCACCUUUGUGUCUAAUUGCCAGAAAUGUCAAGGAGUUCAUGUCAUAGGGAUGAAUCCAGGCCAGCCUGUAUUUCCUCUCUGGUUCCAAAGUUCCCUACUAACAGUGCCUUAGACAGACCUUGUUGAGGGUGUCCAGGGACAAUGGUUCUCUCCUGAACUUCUGUUCUCCAUGUGUUUUCAUAAAUACUGGUGGAUUUAGCAUAGUCUUUGUCAAUUUUUGUGAACACUGGUGUGGAGAAAUGAUUGUGGAGAAAGUCUGAUCUCUGUGUAGAGAGUAGAAGAUAAAAACAAUAUCCUCUUAAGACAGCCAAAUGACCAAGCCCACCUCGCCGUAUUAAUGUAGCACAGAAAAUGUAUGUAACACUUGCAGUGUUGCAGCAUUGGUCAGGGGCACUUAAAUGGCAUUGUAGAAUUACACACAUUACUUGAUCACUUGAUGCAACAAGUGUUAAAAAAGCCCCAAAAACAUAAAGAAUUCAUAGGUUUUUGAGACAAAGAUGCCAGGUAAUGGUUGACAUAAUGGAUGUCUUGGUACCAAGACUGAGGUGCUUUCUGGUGAGAGUGGAUUAGCAUCAGUACACGUUUCCGUGUUACAUGCAGAGGGGCAGUUCACUUAGUUCCUUGCAGGAUCAGGAGCUGCACUGGCCUGAGAUCCGUUGCUGCAUUGUGAGUUUGUUCACUGGAUGUUUCUUGUGUGAGCUUUGCUUUCUUUUUCCCUCUCUGUGGCUGGAGUGAUGUUCUGCCAUCAGUCACACCCAGGUACAGCAUCCAGCAGCUCGGGUGUGUGCAGGGAGAGGCAGGACAGCUCGGCACCGGGCAGCAUUUGUGCACGAAGGCUCCCUAAUCCCCUGGGAUGUCUCUGCUCCUGGAGGGACUGUGCACUCACCCUGCACAAAGGCACCUUACUCUGCACCCUGUGCCCAGCUGCAGGCUGAGGUUGCAGCAGGCUCCAGCAGAGCUGCUCUGACAUAAUCUGCCAGCCCUAAAAGCCGCCACCGCCUCUCCAUCUUUUGAUUCUUACGUGCUGGGCAUGUUUUCAGUGGGACAAAACUGAAAGUACGGAAAAUCGCUGGUUCUGAAGCAGCGACAGUAACUUCGUUUUAGGAAUGUUUUUAAUCUGAGCUGUGUAAAUAAAUAAAAUGAAUAUUUUUAGCUGAAUCAGUUUAAAAAAAAAAAACCUCCAAGAAUUUAGGGCUGCUUUCUAAUGGCAAAAAACCCGAGGCAUCACUUGGAGAAGAAAAAAAUCUCUAAUCCAAGUAGAUUGGAAGAGGAUAACAUACUGCUGUGGUCAGUACAGGGACUAUGAUUUUUUUGGGUUUUAUUUUCUGUUUGUAGACUGAGAAGAAUGAAGAGGAUUCCUCUUUUGUUGCCAUUAAGAUGUCAACAACAGCAACAGCAGUGAUUAGCUGCUGAGUUUUCUUUCUGCUUCUCCGUGUGCUUGAAAGCUGGCUUUUUGGGUGCUUUCUGCUCUUAGCUGUUACCAUUUACAUCUUCGAACACUUUCUGCCCCUCAUAAUUUUUCUUCACAGAUAAAAAUCUCGUGGGCUGUUUUUAUUACUAACCUGCUCAGUUUUUUUAUGUUCAUUUCUGUCUCUGAAUGUAUUGAACACUAAUAAAUGCAAAUAUAUUAUAAUUCCCUCCAAAUCUACACUUUACUCAUGGAAAUUAAGUUGAUACCCUGAAGAAUCUUAAAGUGAACCAGUUUAAUAGAAAAGCUGUUUCAUAAUCCAUGUUAAAUACGUAUUUUAGAGAACUCUUUUGCCAUUUAUGCCGGUAUUGACUUUUAAGUAUUCUAAAUCUUUGUUUAUUUAUCCUUUCUCUAAUAUUUCUUUUCUCUUUUUAAUAGGUCAUCACACAACGAACUAGAAAAACAUAGAGGAGCUUAAUGUAUGUGUUGUUGUAGACUGCUGACUGGGGGAGACUGAAAAUGUUCCCACAUGCACAGAAGUUUGUUUAUCAAAGUCUAUAAAGAAUUGGAUCUGCAGAACUGGAGAUUUAAUCCUGUGUUUUUCCUGAAGUGACCCAUGUUUCUGAGUCUGACAGAUCUGUGGAAUUAAAGAAAUUGGAAGGUUUAAAA